rnacentral:rRNA from 1 species
CUGGUGCCAGCAGCCGCGGUAAUUCCAGCUCUAAUAGCGUAUAUUAAAGUUGUUGCAGUUAAAAAGCUCGUAGUUGGAUUUCGGCGUGCGCUCAGGCUGGUCGGCCGUCAAGGUCUGUACCGUUUGGGUCACGCCCCACUGUAGGAUACUCACCGCUGUCCUUAACUGGGUGGCGGCCAAAGGGGAUGUGCAUGGGGGCAACUCUGUGCAUAUCUCUGGGGUUCCUACUCUUUUACCUUGAGCAAAUUAGAGUGUUCAAUGCAGGCAGUCGAGCCUUGAAUACUUCAGCAUGGGAUAAUGGAACAGGACUGGGGUCCUGAUUUCGUUGGUUUCUGGGAUCUCAGUAAUGAUUAAUAGGGAUAGUUGGGGGCAUUAGUAUUUAAUUGUCAGAGGUGAAAUUCUUGGAUUUAUGAAAGACUAACUUCUGCGAAAGCAUUUGCCAAGGAUGUUUUCAUUAAUCAAGAACGAAAGUUAGGGGAUCGAAGACGAUCAGAUACCGUCGUAGUCUUAACCAUAAACGAUGCCGACCAGCGAUUGGGAGACGUUACAUGGAUGACUCCCCCAGCAGCUUGCGAGAAAUCACAAGUCUUUGGGUUCCGGGGGGAGUAUGGUCGCAAGGCUGAAACUUAAAGGAAUUGACGGAAGGGCACCACCAGGAGUGGAGCCUGCGGCUUAGUUUGACACAACACGGGGAAACGUACCAGGUCCAGACAUAGUAAGGAUUGACAGAUUUGAGAGCUCUUUCUUGAUUCUAUGGGUGGUGGUGCAUGGCCGUUCUUCGUUGGUGGCGUGAUUUGUCUGGUUAAUUCCGUUAACGAACGAGACCUUAACCUGCUAAAUAUGUCACUGGUAGACUUCUGCCAAAACAGGUGGGUGUCUAGGGGAAAGUUUCGAUGGACUCCGACGCAUUCAUCUGUGGAUGACUACCAGGAUGUACUUCUUAGAGGGACUAUCUGUAUCAAAGCAGAUGGAAGUUUGAGGCAAUAACAGGUCUGUGAUGCCCUUAGAUGUUCUGGGCCGCACGCGCGCUACACUGACAAGUUCAACGAGUUUAACACCUUGCUCGAUAGGGCUGGGUAAUCUUUGAAAAACUUGUCGUGAUGGGGAUAGAUCAUUGUAAUUAUUGGUCUUCAACGAGGAAUUCCUAGUAAGCGUGAGUCAUCAGCUCGCGUUGAUUACGUCCCUGCCCUUUGUACACACCGCCCGUCGCUCCUACCGAUUGAAUGAUCCGGUGAAAUGUUGGGAGCUGGGGUCUUUUGGCGGCGGGGCAACUCGUCGUCAGGGAUUCUGCAAACUUCAUUAAACCUUAUCAUUUAGA